CUGACCUGAUUAAAGUCAUCUUCAUAAAAGAGUUUUACACUUUGUUCACCAAUAGGAACUGUCCAGACAAAAGUGGGGUGUUGAAGGGGUGAUUAAGCAUUAAAAUGAAAACUGCAUAUUUAACAGGAUCUUGGCAUGGAUGGCCCAUUGGCUCAGUCCAUCCUGACGGUUGAUGAUGGCCAUUGGAAGAGAAUUCGAAGUGUGCUUUCACCAAGCUUCACCAGUGGGAGACUGAAAGAGGUAACGGAGCUCCACCCCACUCCCCAGUAGAUCAACUCCUUUGUCUGUGCCUGGACCUGUGAUGUGUAAGACGAGUUCAUCUUCUUAUGAAGGUGAGCAUGUAGAUGCUGAUACAUUUGGCGAAACUAUAAUAUAACUCAAAACACAAAGGAAAUAAGACUUUGAAAUGCAACAUGUUAACAUGUACAAGCUCCCAGACUCCAUCUUGCCUCCACUUGAGUGUGCUCUGUUCCACUGUGAGAAG